UAAGCAGGACAGACGAUCGCGGCCGCGCGAAAGCGCGGGUGAGGAAAGUCCGGGCUUCACAGGGCAGGAUGCCGGAUAACGUCCGGUGGAGGAAACUCCCAGGCCAGUGCAACAGAAAUAUACCGCCUGCGUGAAAGCGCAGGUAAGGGUGGAAAGGCAGUGUAAGAGACUACCGUCCGUCUGGUAACAGGCGGAGCCAUGUAAACCCCAUCCGAAGCAAGACCAAGCAGAGAACGAUAGGCUUGCCCGGCCUGUUCUCAGGUGGGUCGCUUGAUGCGGCUGGCAACAGUCGUACUAGAUAGAUGAUCGUCCAACGACAGAACCCGGCUUAUCGUUCUGCUUACGCU
rnacentral:RNase_P_RNA from 1 species